GGAUGCGAUCAUACCAGCACUAAAGCACCGGAUCCCAUCAGAACUCCGAAGUUAAGCGUGCUUGGGCGAGAGUAGUACUAGGAUGGKKGACCUCCUGGGAAGUCCUCGUGUUGCAUUCC
rnacentral:rRNA from 16 species